rfam:Ovis aries breed Texel chromosome 12, whole genome shotgun sequence.
UGUCCCCAUGGCACAGGGUCCAGCUGUCGGCCAUAUACCCGAUGGGUCGAUGAUGGUCCCUGUGUUUUGGGGCA